CUCCGGAGCGUCACCCCUGUCCCCACGCAGCCCAGGCCGAGACAGGGCGGCGGAGCGGAGGCGGGGCGCUGGUUUCGCGCUUCCCGAGGGAGCGAAGGGCGGGCUCCGGGCGUCCCGCGGGGCGCGGGUGAGUCAGAAGCCCGACCACCCGCGCGGCCCGACCCCGGGGGAUCCGCGAGAGGGCGGACCAGGCGGAUGGCAAAGCACAAGGCCCCGCUGGGCGGCGGGCACCGGCUCCAGGUUUCCGGGAGGAGGAAGUGCGAGUCUGGGCCGAGGGCUUCCAGGCGAAAGGGCCGGGACUCCUGCAGAGGGGCCUCGGGCCCGCGGGCUCCCUGCUCUGCAGAGCUGGGAUCGCACCUACUUGCGGAGCUGGAGGAGCCGGCGCUGGCACUCGGGGGACAGGCGCUCUAGGUCCGAGUCCUCACUGGCCUCCCCCUCCCACGCUAACAUUUGUUGAACUCUGCCACAGACUUUACACAUGGUGGGCCUUUGGGAAUGAGACCAGGCGGAUUCCCCAACCUCCACCCUGACCCCGCAGAGCCUUGAAAAGAAAUAAGCAGGAUCUUUCUUCGGAUCACUCCACUUCUUGUCUGCACUUUGGCCUUGCGGCUAAUACUGUGACCUUGAGCUGCUCCCAAGACUUUUUGGUCCUCCACGGUGUGUAAAAUAAGCCAGUUCUCUCCAUUUGGGCAUAUCAUUCUGUUUAACUCGGCCAAGUAGUCCUACGGAAUGGCUGUGUGGUGCAAGAUCUCUACAGAGUGAUGGCAUACAGUGAUGGGCCAAACUGCCAGCUUGCGUGGUUGACUGGGAAAGCAGGCAUACAAAUGUGAUCACUAAAGAUUCCUGGGGGGGGGGGGGUUGGAAGCAUGCAAGAGGGAAAUUUUGCUGGUCUCCAAUUCACACACAUACAGACACACACACACACACACACACACACACACACCAUCUGGCCCCCCAUAGAAGUCCCCCUUCCCCAACACACACGUUCAUUCACCCUAAACAGGAAGUGAUGGCUGAGUCCUAGUUAACUAGCUGGAGGGUGGGAUAUUGGAAGCAAUAGGAAGCCUUUGAUAGGGCCUUGAAGGUUAGAGCGAGUGUGGGACAUAAAUGAACUGCAGCAAAUCUAAUACUUCUGGAGCUUGCAGGGUUUGGGAGGAAGGCUGAAGAUAGAGAAGGGAUCAGGUUAUGAGUAUUUAUAAAUAAACCCUGAUAAGGACUGUGGACUUCUCACUGAGAUUAUUGGGGAGACUAGAUAGAUAGAAAAGAAGGUCGGGAUUGACAUAUACACACUCCUAUAUAUAAAAUGGGUAACAAGGACCUGAUGUAUAGCACAGAGUAAUCUGCUCAAUACUGUGUAAAGACCUAUGUGGAAAAAGAAUCUGAAAAGGAAUGGAUAUAUGUAUCUAUAUAACUGAUUUACUUUGCAGUACACCUGAAACUGUAACUCAACUAUACUCCAAUAGAAUUUAUUUUUUAAAAAUACUAAAAAGAAGGAAAAUCAUCUUUAUCCACAGGCAACACGAUUGUGGACACUGAAAAUUCAAAGGAAUCCCCCCAAAAUGACUAGGACGAAUAAGUGUAUUUAACAAGGUCACAAGGAGUUUCCGUCGUGGCGCAGCAGAAAUGAAUCCGACUAGGAACCAGGAGGUUGCGGGUUUGAUCCCUGGCCUCGCUCAGUGGGUUAAGGAUCUGGUGUUGCUGUGGUGUAGGUCGCAGACACUGCUCGGAUCCCGAAGUGCUGUGGUGUAGACCAGUGGCUACUGCUCCGAUUUGACCCCUAGCCUGGGAAACUCCAUAUGCUGCAGGUGCGGCCCUAAAAAAAGACAAAAGAUGAAAAAAAAAAAAAAGGUCACAAGAUACUAUCAGGAGAUGAUUUUUCCAGGGUUUCUCAUGUUUCUACCUAUCUUGCAAGCAGGGACACUGACUCCUUUGUCCUGGGCUAUAUUGGAUUUUGCAUGUUUAUAUAUAUUCAUAUAUAUAUAUGAAUGUGUGUGUAUGUAUGUACCUAUAUGUACAGUGACCAACCUUGUAUGAUAGUGUCUGCUUCCAGAGCAAAGGGUAGGUUUGCUUAUUAUUCAGUAAAAAGCUAAUGUCUCCCUUUGGGCCAAAGUUCAAGCAGGUUUACUGCUCAUUAUAAAAGAAUCAGGUUCCUUAAGCCUGGGUUUCCUCACCUGCAGCACAGCCACUGCAUGUGCAGGCAUCACGGGUCCUCUUCGCUUUGCCCUGUAGGAAUCAGGGCUUGGAGAACCCUGAUACUGAUUCCUGCUAUUGCUGUGACAAGUAAGCUCGUUUUUCUCUGACCCGGAAUUCUCAUGCCUUCCCCCAGCAUCCAUGAUGCUGUAAGGUAAAACCUCAGAGCCUUCAAAGUUCUUGAUACAAGAUGCAAAAAAAAAUCAAUUGAUUCAGAGUUCCCCAGUGGCUCUGCAGGUUAGGGAUCCAGUGUUGUUACUGUUGUGGCUCAAGUUGCUGCUGUGGCACAGGUUCAGUCCCUGGCCUGGGAACUUCCACAUGCUGUGGGCAUGGCCGAAAAAAAAAAAAAUCAAUUUUUUAAUAUACUAGCAACAAACAAAGAAUAAUUUUACAUUUAAAAUAACACAAAAGGUAUAAUAUAGUGAGAAAUACAUAAGAAGUGUCUAAGACCUGUACACUGAAACCUGCAAAGACCUUGCUGAGAGUCCAAAUAGAGGAGUUCCUGUUAUGUCUCAGCAGGUUAAGGAUCUGACAUUUCCACAAACUGCAGUAUAGUUCACAGAUGCGGCUCAGAUCUGGGGUUGCUGUGGCUGAGGUGUAGGCCAGCAGCUGCAGCUCUGAUUUGACCCCGGCCCAGGAACUUCCAUGUGCCAUAGGUAUAACCCUAAAAAGAAAAAAUAAUAAAUGAAUGGAAGGGAGUCUGUGUUCCUGGAUAGGAAAAUAAAUUUUUCCCAGUCAACCAUUUGAAUCUUGGGUGGAACAGAAGACAGAAAUGGCCUAUCCCUUCCAUGGAAGGUAUCACCUCUUCCUCCUAGGACAGGGCCCUGAUCAGACCAG